UUCAAAUCGAUCGGUCUCCAGUUGCUAUCGGUUCCGUGACCCACCGUGGUGUUGCCACCUAAUAUAUCGAUGUUCCACGGCGUGACUCCCUGUGUCGAUAUUUCCAGUAUUUGUGCCGGCCGAUCGACACUAUCGUGCAGCGCCAAUCGGUCAUAAAUCGACGCGCUCCCAUCCCUUUGGGCAGAUGAGGACAUUUUCUCCGGGUAAGUUUUCUAAUUUCUCCUUUUCUCCUUUCUCUCUGUUCUUUUCUCCUUUUUUUUUAGCGCUCGGGACCUGACGAAGAGGGUGAUGCGCCUUCUCCUGCACCCCCUCCCCCUCCCGGUUGGCCCACGCAACUUCUCCAUUCCCUUUGCCUGAAGACAAAACUGCCCAACAUUUGGA